rnacentral:rRNA from 1 species
ACACAUGCAAGUCGAACGGAAAGGCCCUGCUUUUGUGGGGUGCUCGAGUGGCGAACGGGUGAGUAACACGUGAGUAACCUGCCCUUGACUUUGGGAUAACUUCAGGAAACUGGGGCUAAUACCGGAUAGGAGCUCCUGCUGCAUGGUGGGGGUUGGAAAGUUUCGGCGGUUGGGGAUGGACUCGCGGCUUAUCAGCUUGUUGGUGGGGUAGUGGCUUACCAAGGCUUUGACGGGUAGCCGGCCUGAGAGGGUGACCGGCCACAUUGGGACUGAGAUACGGCCCAGACUCCUACGGGAGGCAGCAGUGGGGAAUAUUGCACAAUGGGCGGAAGCCUGAUGCAGCAACGCCGCGUGCGGGAUGACGGCCUUCGGGUUGUAAACCGCUUUCGCCUGUGACGAAGCGUGAGUGACGGUAAUGGGUAAAGAAGCACCGGCUAACUACGUGCCAGCAGCCGCGGUGAUACGUAGGGUGCGAGCGUUGUCCGGAUUUAUUGGGCGUAAAGGGCUCGUAGGUGGUUGAUCGCGUCGGAAGUGUAAUCUUGGGGCUUAACCCUGAGCGUGCUUUCGAUACGGGUUGACUUGAGGAAGGUAGGGGAGAAUGGAAUUCCUGGUGGAGCGGUGGAAUGCGCAGAUAUCAGGAGGAACACCAGUGGCGAAGGCGGUUCUCUGGGCCUUUCCUGACGCUGAGGAGCGAAAGCGUGGGGAGCGAACAGGCUUAGAUACCCUGGUAGUCCACGCUGUAAACGGUGGGUACUAGGUGUGGGGUCCAUUCCACGGGUUCCGUGCCGUAGCUAACGCUUUAAGUACCCCGCCUGGGGAGUACGGCCGCAAGGCUAAAACUAAAGGAAUUGACGGGGCCCCGCACAAGCGGCGGAGCAUGCGGAUUAAUUCGAUGCAACGCGUAGAACCUUACCUGGGUUUGACAUGGAUCGGGAGUGCUCAGAGAUGGGUGUGCCUCUUUGGGGUCGGUUCACAGGUGGUGCAUGGCUGUCGUCAGCUCGUGUCGUGAGAUGUUGGGUUAAGUCCCGCAACGAGCGCAACCCUUGUUCACUGUUGCCAGCACGUUAUGGUGGGGACUCAGUGGAGACCGCCGGGGUCAACUCGGAGGAAGGUGGGGAUGACGUCAAGUCAUCAUGCCCCUUAUGUCCAGGGCUUCACGCAUGCUACAAUGGCUGGUACAGAGAGUGGCGAGCCUGUGAGGGUGAGCGAAUCUCGGAAAGCCGGUCUCAGUUCGGAUUGGGGUCUGCAACUCGACCUCAUGAAGUCGGAGUCGCUAGUAAUCGCAGAUCAGAACGCUGCGGUGAAUACGUUCCCGGGGCUUGUACACACCGCCCGUCAAGUCAUGAAAGUUGGUAACACCCGAAGCCGGUGGCCUAACCGUUGUGGGGGAGCCGUCGAAGGUGGGACUGGUGAU